GGUGAACGCUGGCGGUAUGGAUAACCCUUUAAAGUCAAACGGGUUUAAACCCGGGGCAAACAAGGUAUUAACAGGUAGGAACGUCCCCGGAAGUCGUGCAUAACCAUUCAAAAAAUUGGACAAUUCACGAUGGUCUCGCAAGAGUAAAAAUUUAUCGCUUCCGGAGCGGCCUGCCUCGUAUCACGCUAUUUGGUUAGGUAAGGGCUGACCAAGGCUAUGACGCGUAGGGAAGCUGAAAGGCUGACCCCCACCGAUGAAACUGAAACACGGCUCAUACCCCUACGGGGGGCCGCACCCAAAAAUAUUCAACAAGGGGCAAAAGCCUGAUCGAGCGAUACCGCGUGGUGAAUGAAGUGCUUCGGCACGUAAACUUCUUUUAUGAGGGAGGAAUUUAUUGACUUUCCCUCAUGAAUAAGGGGCUCCUAACUCUGUG
rnacentral:rRNA from 1 species